CACAGAUGGUCCCUGGAAUCAAGUGGUGGUCUCACUAAAAAGAUUUCAUCAGUGGUGACCCGAAAAAAUGUCCUGGUGGAGGGGAAUGCUGUGGCAGGUUCAGUGAUGUAAACAUUUGAAAAACAAGGGAGCACAAGGCCUAAAAGACUAGGGAGUUGGCUGGUUACUCCUAAGUUGCAUUAACACCCAAAAGAAGGAUAAUGAGAGAGUGGGAGUAUUUAACAAGCAAUUAGUGCCCAAGUAUGAGAGUCAGCAGGCCUCUAUGGCAGCCUGCACAGAGGCCCUCAUCACCUGUGACUGAAGGGCAACUCCAAUCAAAGGGCAUGCUGAAGCCUUAACUGUGAGAACUGAAGAGCUCCAGAGAUGUUUGAAUGCUUAGUCAAGGAAGAUCUGUUACUUGAAGGACAGAGUCCUGGGACAGAAAACCUGGGACCCUGAAAUACAGGACAGGGACAUCUGGAUGGGUCCCCCUGAAGAUGUUGACUCUGCUGACUUCCAAGCCAAUAUCUAGGGUUAAAUAUCCACAUAACUCAGCUGGAGGUAUGCUGGGUCUAGUAAGAGAGGAAAGAGACCACACACUUAAAAAGUUGCAACAGGAGCCAAGGGACUACCCCUGAGAUUGGAUUUUGAGGAUGCUUGAUCAAGGAAGCCAGAAAGCAAGACUGGAUAAGCAAGAAUUCAUUGACUUGGGGGCACAUUCUGGGGACAUGGGACUUAACGUUCCAGGAAGGACACAAGGAUGAGGCAAACUCACCCCAGGAACGAAUGGCUGUUGAGAAGCCUGGAAAAAUGAUGGUCAACUCUCAGGGAAGUGGAACUGCCAGAAGCGUCCUGGCAAACGGUAGAGGAAGGAGUAGAGGGGCUGAGAGAUGAGGCACGCUGGGAUUACCACAAUAUAUAAGGCCAGAAGCUCCACCUGAAGACACGCUAUUCCCCAAGGCCAGCAGGAGUGCACUGGUGAGAGGAGCACAGCAUUGCUAAGUUCAGAGGUGGCCUCCUCUGCAGGCCAGGGAUAAUUGCCGAGAGGCCAUCACAGAGGUGGGCUCUGUGAUAGCCCCAGGGGAUGAUGUCCCACCCACCCAAAUAAUGGAGGUCCGGUGGUGGUCCUUAACUACCAGAAGCCAGGACACCACAAUUACUGCAAUGACUAACAAGGUCAGAGAGGUAACCAAGGGAGAUGGACCCACAGGGAGCUGAGGAGAUGGUUAAUAGCACGUGAUGUCCGAAGGGGAAAAUAGAUGAACAGUUAGCAAGGGUGAUGCUUAAUAUCUAUUACCAAGAAAACAAGCAUGGAGGGGCAGGAGGUUGAGGGCUGUCACCCUCAUAAAAAGCCAUGAGCCUCGUUCAGUUCCAUACCUGAGCCAAUUUUCAGAUCCGGAACUCACUGGUGCAGAAGUGGCUGGGUCCCUCGGAGGAAACACCCUGUAGCACCAUGACAAGCACAUACUGUGAUGCUCUCCCCAGUCCCUUCCUAAAUGGACCUAUGACAAUUUACCUGGGUGACUAUUCUGGGGAAAGGGGGAAUAUCAGGAUUGGGGGGAUUAUUGGUUACAGGGUCUGAGUUAAUAUCAAUAUCCAGAGGUCUAAAGUGUCAUCACAGUCCCCCUGUUAGAGUGGGGGCCUGUGGGCAGGGCCAGAUUCUUGCACUGGCCAUGUGACCAGUGUAGCCAUAUAAAGUCAUACUCAGAAGGGCCUGCACACAGGGUUAAUGCUCUACGAUUGCUGCCUUGAAACUCUUAAUAAUUUAACUUUGAAUUUGUUUCGUUAAAUGAAGGCCAAUGGGACUGUGGACCCCAGCACGACCCCCACUCACCACUGCCUCCUCAGGACAAGUCCUGUGCCACCUGCUUCCCUGCUUGCUUGCCCUCCGGGGCCCACCCAGCCUUCCCCUCCAUGUCCUGCAAUCACUGCUGUCCUCCAACCUGAGAAAGAACUGAGCGUGGGCAGAGGAAAGCAAAGAAAAACACCAGGACAAAUUGAGAGACAACACACAGAAGAAAGGAAAACCUUUAUAUGUACCACGAAUGGCACUUUUUUUUCUGAUCUUUGAACAGGGGGCCCUGCAUUUUCAUCUUCACUGGGUCUGCAAAUUGUGUAGCCAGCCCUGCCUACAGGAGACGGGUAAUAAAUGAAAUUCUGUCUAA